GGGUUUUUAGCUCAGCGGUAGAGCACGGGACUCAUAAUCCUUUGGUCACAGGUUCAAAUCCUGUAAAACCCACCA
rnacentral:tRNA from 1 species